GUCCUUAUAGUUUAAUGGAUAAAAUACAAGAUUCCGAUUCUUGUGAUAAAGGUUCGAUUCCUUUUAAGGGCGCCA
rnacentral:tRNA from 3 species